UACGUAGGGUGCGAGCGUUAAUCGGAAUUACUGGGCGUAAAGGGUGCGCAGGUGGUCUCGUAAGCUGGGUGUGAAAGCCCCGGGCUUAACCUGGGAAUGGUAUUUAGGAUUGCGAGGCUUUGAGUGUGGCAGAGGGAGGUGGAAUUCCACGUGUAGCAGUGAAAUGCGUAGAGAUGUGGAGGAAUACUGAUGGCGAAGGCAGCCUCCUGGGCCAGCACUGACGCUCAUGCUCGAAAGCGUGGGUAGCAAACAGG
rnacentral:rRNA from 1 species